rnacentral:rRNA from 1 species
CGAACGGGUGAGUAACGCGUGAGUAACCUGCCCUGGAGUGGGGGGACAACAGUUGGAAACGACUGCUAAUACCGCAUAAGCCCACGAUCCGGCAUCGGAUUGAGGGAAAAGGAUUUAUUCGCUUCAGGAUGGACUCGCAUCCAAUUAGCUAGUUGGUGAGGUAACGGCCCACCAAGGCGACGAUUGGUAGCCGGACUGAGAGGUUGAACGGCCACAUUGGGACUGAGACACGGCCCAG